CGCCCCUCCCGCCCUAGCCACGCCCAUCCCUCUCACGGCUCCGCCCACCCCGCCCUGGCCCCGCCCCGGAAGCGCUCCCCCGCUCGUCACUCACUUCCGCGGGGCCGGUGGCAGCGGCGGCGGCAGUAGCAGCAGGCCGGGAGCUGCAGUGAGGCGCAGAGAGCUGCUGCGGCACAGCCGGGAGCUCCCGCUGUUCGCUGGAGAGCCGGGACCCGGCGGGCAAAACCAGGCUCUGAGUAAAUCGCAGGGACUUGCCGCCAGCUGGAGACCACCAUGACGGACUCCAAGUACUUCACCACCACGAAGAAAGGGGAGAUAUUUGAGCUGAAAGCCGAACUGAACAGCGACAAGAAGGAGAAGAAGAAGGAGGCCGUGAAGAAGGUCAUAGCGUCUAUGACCGUCGGGAAGGACGUCAGCGCUCUCUUCCCGGAUGUGGUGAACUGCAUGCAGACGGACAACCUGGAACUGAAGAAGCUGGUCUACCUCUACCUGAUGAACUACGCCAAGAGCCAGCCAGACAUGGCCAUCAUGGCAGUCAACACCUUUGUGAAGGACUGCGAGGACCCAAACCCGCUGAUCCGGGCUCUGGCCGUGCGCACCAUGGGCUGCAUCCGCGUGGACAAGAUCACGGAGUAUCUGUGCGAGCCGCUGCGCAAGUGCCUGAAGGAUGAGGACCCGUACGUGCGCAAGACGGCAGCCGUCUGCGUGGCAAAGCUCCACGACAUCAACGCCCAGCUGGUGGAGGACCAGGGCUUCCUGGACACCCUGAAGGACCUCAUCUCCGACUCCAACCCCAUGGUAGUGGCCAACGCAGUAGCGGCUCUCUCAGAAAUAGCAGAGUCUCACCCGAGCAGUAACCUCCUGGAUCUCAACCCCCAGUCCAUCAACAAGCUGCUCACGGCCCUGAACGAGUGCACAGAGUGGGGCCAGAUCUUCAUCCUGGACUGUCUGGCCAACUACAUGCCCAAGGAUGACCGGGAGGCCCAGAGCAUCUGCGAGCGGGUGACGCCUCGGCUGUCCCAUGCGAACUCUGCCGUGGUGCUCUCGGCCGUCAAGGUGCUGAUGAAGUUCAUGGAGAUGCUGUCCAAGGACCUGGAUUAUUACGGCACGCUGCUGAAGAAGCUGGCCCCGCCGCUGGUCACGCUGCUCUCCGCAGAGCCCGAGCUGCAGUAUGUGGCUCUGCGCAACAUCAACCUCAUCGUGCAGAAGAGGCCUGAGAUCCUGAAGCACGAGAUGAAGGUGUUCUUCGUCAAGUACAACGACCCCAUCUACGUCAAGCUGGAGAAGCUGGACAUCAUGAUCCGCCUGGCUUCCCAGGCCAACAUUGCUCAGGUGCUGGCUGAGCUGAAGGAGUACGCCACGGAGGUGGACGUGGACUUCGUGAGGAAGGCGGUUCGAGCCAUCGGCCGCUGCGCCAUCAAGGUGGAGCAAUCAGCUGAGCGCUGUGUCAGCACCCUGCUCGACCUCAUCCAGACCAAAGUCAACUAUGUGGUGCAGGAGGCCAUCGUUGUCAUCAAGGACAUCUUCCGCAAGUACCCCAACAAGUAUGAGAGCGUGAUUGCCACCCUCUGCGAGAACCUCGACUCCCUGGACGAGCCCGAGGCCCGUGCUGCCAUGAUCUGGAUCGUGGGCGAGUACGCUGAGCGGAUCGACAACGCUGAUGAGCUGCUGGAGAGCUUCCUGGAGGGCUUCCAUGACGAGAGCACCCAGGUGCAGCUGCAGCUGCUGACGGCCAUUGUGAAGCUGUUCCUGAAGAAGCCCACAGAGACGCAGGAGCUGGUGCAGCAGGUGCUGAGUUUGGCCACGCAGGAUUCCGACAACCCCGACCUGCGGGACCGCGGCUACAUCUACUGGCGCCUGCUCUCCACUGACCCCGUGGCUGCCAAGGAGGUGGUGCUGGCGGAGAAACCGCUCAUCUCUGAGGAGACGGAUCUGAUCGAGCCGACACUCCUGGACGAGCUGAUCUGCUACAUUGGGACGUUGGCCUCUGUCUAUCACAAACCUCCCAGCGCCUUCGUGGAGGGGAGCAGAGGGGUUGUGCACAAGAGUUUGCCCCCGCGAACGGGCUCGAGUGAGAGUGCCGAGAGCCCCGACACAGCCCCGUCGGGGGUGCAGGCAGCGGAGCAGCCGGCUGUCAUCCCCACCCAGGGUGACCUGCUGGGUGACCUGCUGAACCUGGACCUGGGCCCGCCGGUGAGCGGGCCGCCCAUGGCCACCUCUGCCGUGCAGAUGGGUGCUGUGGACCUCCUGGGAGGCGGCUUGGAUAGCCUGAUGGGGGACGAGUCGGAAGGGCUGCGAAGUGAUGUGGGAGGCAGCCCCGCUAUGGGUGGCGGUGGCAGCAGCUUCACGCCAGCGCCCAGCGCUGCGAUGCCCCCAAACCUGGGGGCACCCCUGGGCAGCGGCCUGGGAGACCUCUUCGACCUCACCGGUGGGGUGGGGACCCUGUCGGGAUCCUACGUGGCACCCAAAACGGUCUGGCUCCCUGCCAUGAAAGCCAAGGGGCUGGAGAUCUCUGGUACCUUCAGCCGGCAGGUGGGCUCCAUCGCCAUGGACCUGGUGCUCACCAACAAGGCUCUGCAGGUCAUGUCCGACUUCGCCAUCCAGUUUAACCGUAACAGCUUCGGCCUGGCCCCAGCAGCUCCUCUCCAGGUCCACGCGCCUCUCGCCCCCAACCAGUCUGUGGAGAUCUCCCUGCCGCUCAACACCGUCGGCUCCGUCAUGAAGAUGGACCCGCUGAACAACCUCCAGGUUGCAGUAAAAAACAACAUCGACGUCUUCUACUUCAGCACCCUGUACCCGCUGCACAUCCUCUUUGUGGAGGAAGGGAAGAUGGAGCGGCAGAUGUUCCUGGCCACUUGGAAGGACAUUCCUAAUGAGAACGAGGUGCAGUUCCAGAUCAAAGACUGUUCUCUCAGCGCAGAUGCUGUCAGCAACAAGCUCCAAGGCAGCAACAUCUUCACCAUCGCCAAGAGGAACGUGGAGGGUCAAGACAUGCUCUACCAGUCCCUGAAGCUCACCAAUGGCAUCUGGGUGCUGGCGGAGCUCCGGAUCCAGCCCAGCAAUCCCAGCUUCACGCCUUUUUCCUUUGGGCUGGGACGUGCCGUGUCGCCUUGACUCACCUCUCUCUGUAUCUCCAUACCUGCUGCCCUCCUGCCCUCGUUGCCUGCCCGCUCUUGCAGGAUUUGGAGUUGUCCCUGAAAUGCCGAGCGCCCGAGGUGUCCCAGUACGUGUACCAAGCCUACGAGACCAUCCUGAAGAACUGAGGUGCAGCCCAUCCUCCUCCUCCUCCUCCUCUCCCUUUCCUGCCCGAGGACGCGGGGCAGGACCCGUGUGCAUGUCUCCUCUCCAUCCUGCCGAGGAACCAGCCCUGGGGCCCCAAAAACGGAGCUGCUGCUCCCAUCUCCGGGGGGCUGGGGAGGGCAGGGGUGACCCCCAUCUCUGCAUCCCUGUGCAAAUCUGUGUGAGUGAUGCCGUGUCCUUCUUGCUGAUGUUGCCCCACCAAGAGCCCUGUUUCACUCUCUAGAUCCUGGUGACUGUUUUCGGACCGGGGGGGCCACUCUCCUCCUCCCCUUUGUGUCAAAAAUCCUCUUCCCCACUGGUGUCUGCCCAGGGUGGGGUCUGGGAAAGGGUUCAGCACUUCUUGGCCCUGGGAAGCCUGUUUGGUCCUGGGGCUGGGGCUUUGUCCUCCCCCCCCAGCAGUUCCUGCCUCUCCGUGGUGUUGUCCCCAAGUUCAGGAGAGCCCUGGGUGACCCCCCCAUCCCUCUGGGGAGGGUCUCCCCCCGUGGGAGCUGUUCCCAAAGGUCCCAGUAGGGCUUGAGGAUCUCAAAUUUGCGCCUGUACUUAGAAGUGCAGUAAAAAAAGGGCUUUUCCAGCCCCUGCAGUGGGGCCAGGAGGGCUCUGAGCAUCAACUCAUGCUGCCCUCACCCCUCCCCAGCCCUACGGCUCCCUCUGCUCCCCCCUGUCACCCAUGGGUGCCGGAGAGGACGUGCCACCUUCCCCUGUGGUGACACUGCUCCUGUCCACCCCCCAAAAUAAAGCCAUGGGUUACCCCUA